UACGGAGGGUGCAAGCGUUAUCCGGAUUCACUGGGUUUAAAGGGUGCGUAGGUGGGUUGGUAAGUCAGUGGUGCAAUCUCCGAGCUUAACUUGGAAACUGCCAUUGAUACUAUCAGUCUUGAAUAUUGUGGAGGUUAGCGGAAUAUGUCAUGUAGCGGUGAAAUGCUUAGAUAUGACAUAGAACACCAAUUGCGAAGGCAGCUGGCUACACAUAUAUUGACACUGAGGCACGAAAGCGUGGGGAUCAAACAGG
rnacentral:rRNA from 1 species